GCUGUGUAGUGUGUAACUGUGCGUGAAGCUGAGCUAGAAUAAGUCUGACAAUAGCGUGCUGUAGGUGGUAAAUGAAUAACAAUAGAUUUCGUUUCUUAGCCACUGAAUGAAGCUGUGCUGUACAUGUAUUUUAAAAACGAAGUUAAGCGCAGUUUUCCAUUAUUAGCGUUAUGCUGUUAGCGAAUGACUUUUUAUGGUGCUGUGGCAUCUGGUAUGAUAAUAUUGUGUAAUUUGUUGAUGCGUAAUGCACGCUAUUCAAACUUAGUUUUGCCCUCUUUUUAAAUAGUUGUGACUGAAUCAUCUUUGCUAGUUGUUAAUGGUGUUUCGGGACAGGUCUGAAUUGUAUAUGGCAUAAAAUUAUUAGAGGUUACGUUUAUCGAAAUAAAACCUUACAUCUCACCCCUGUUUCGAGAAAACUCUUUUCGUGUAGGGUCAUAUUAUAUUAGUGGCCUGUAUUUCUUUUGCUAGUUGAUUUAUGUGAAACACGUGGCAGUUAUAAUAGGAUUAUUGUAAGGCAACCUCCAUGGAAUAUGUCUGCCGAAAAAAGAGUGAGGCUUCUGGAGGCAGCUUACGAUGGAGCUGUGGAAGAGCUGAAAGAACUGCUGUGUGUGGGGACGGACGUAGGGUUGAGGGACGAGCACGAGAUGACUGCCCUGCACUGUGCGGUGGAAGGCGGAAGUGUGGAGGCGGUCAGAAUUCUCCUUGACAGUGGAGCAGACGUGAAUGCCAGGAACCAGGAGUGGGACACGCCGCUGCACAUCGCUGCGUUCUUCGGCUACGUGGCCGUCGUGCGGCUGCUGCUGUCAGUGUCGGCGGACCCGAGUCCCAGCUGCCAGAAAGGGUGGACGCCACUGCACUGGGCAGCACAGGAGGGGCACGCCGAGGUGGUGGCCGCACUUUUAGGUGCGGGAGCAGACAUGCGCAUCAGGGACGUAGAGGGGAGGACGCCGCUGGACCUCGCCAGGCAGUACGGCAGAUGGGAGCUGGUCACUAUUCUCACAUAAGGGCGUCAGUUUACUAUGUGUGCCUGCUACUGAAGUUCCCAUGUACAUCAGUGGCCUACCCCAUAUAUGUGCAGUGACAUGAUUGUAGAUUUAAUUAAAAGUCUGUUUUUACCAGACAAGACAGGCUUCUACUACAGCCACACAAAAGACAACAUACCGAUACAGUUUUUUGGCCCUGUUUUCUGUGUUGAAAGCAUAGUAAAAAGAGUGCGUACUCUUGGCCCGUUAUAUCAUAAAAAGGAGACUCCUGUUGCAGAUCAUCUGGUGGACCAUGUUAACCCAAAAAAGAAGAGAAAAGUUAUCAUGGACACACAAAAGAAAGGCUGUCCAGCAACAUUGGACGUUAAGAGUGUCAGGGUAUUCCCCGAUUAUUCGAUAAACUCGGCAACAGACAGUUAAAAAAAAAAAAAAGUUCACAGGUACUCUGCGUUCUUGUGCCACAUUUAAAAGCAACAUUCAGAUCAGCUUUUUUGGUUCUUUUGUAUUGCAUGGGAGCAAUGGACAAGCCACAAGUAAAGUUUACAAGAGAGUUGCAGUUGCAGAUCACCUUGGCAACAUCAAGGUGACACAGUUGUCUUCUCCCAGCAGCGAGAGGCAAUAUUGUGAUCAUUCCUCUGAACCUCCUUCUCUCGUGGAAAGUGUAAUUGACACACAAUGCAUACCCAGGUGGGGUAGUCCCUACAGUUAAAAAUAAGGUUGCAGUAGCACAUUAACUGGUUGUGUAUCAUCAAGACCGUAUCAGUCCAAGGGAAAAUGUAGUGAACACAAAUGAGAGAGUGCUCAGCUACAGUUUCAGACAAAUGGCUGAAAUUUCCAGGUUUUCUGUUCAGUGAACAAAUUACCACAUGGAGACAGAAAUGAGUAUAGUAUCUGAUUCUGAAUUAUAUUUUUAGGAGCAUGUUAUUUUACCACUUCACUGUACAUGAUUUGACAACUUUGUAUUGUUACAGGUUGCUGCAGAAGUGGCCUUGGUGUUCAAGCAAGACAGAAAGGCAAAUUUCUGAACUUUUUUUUUUAUCAUGAUGCUAUUACAUCAUCCUAAGGAUACGAUGUAGCUAGUGCCACAUUCUCAAAGUCUGUCAAUGUUUAUAGUUCUGUAGGUCAGGUUUAUAACCAGCCUAGCCAACUGCCUUUCAUCUUGUUCCUCUGAUGAAGUUGAGCUUCUGGGAUUGUCACUGCCUUGGUUUACUGCCUCCUCACUGCUGUGGACUAUGUAUGUGAAUUGGACAUAUGAAGAAAUGUCAUUGUUUUAUUAUCCUUUUUGAGCGAAAACUAAAUGUUACAGAUAAUAAAACAACGUGGUAUCAAUAAUUA
rnacentral:misc_RNA from 1 species